rnacentral:lncRNA from 12 species
AUGUGGAGCCAUAAGCAGUCAUUUCUAACUUGGCAGCGCUCCUUCCAAGUGACAUUUCCAACACCACCUAGAGGACCAGGAAAUUCAGUCAGGCUGGCGACGCCAGAGGUCCGCAAAGCCGGGACGGGAUACGUCUCCAAUCUUCCAUGGGAGCCACGUAGUUGUCUCUGGCUUGGCAGGUACAGCUCCAUCCACAGUACUUGAAGAAACUGCUCUCACUCUUUCAGCCACCCUGGGAUUGGUAACCAAGGAAGAAACAGAAGAAAAAGGUCUUGUUAUCCCUCUUUUGUCCAGGGUAAGAACAACUUUUGAGAUAAAAAUACUUUGUGGGUUUUUUUUUUUUUGCUACCUUUGUCAAUUUUGCCAUUUUGUGAUUUAGUCAUUAUAUGUUUUUUUAACAUAAAAGGCAUUGGGGAGAGUUUUGUGGGUUAUGUUAAAUCAUGGAACUAGUUGUGAUUCAAACUCAGAUAAAAUCUCUCGAAAUUGAGAUGUAUUCCUGCCAACAUAUCUUUCAAACUUGGAGUUUUUAUUGCGUGCAGUCAGAAUAAAAAGAUUAGACAAAUUUAAUAAGACA